rnacentral:rRNA from 1 species
GCGCAGCAGUCGCGAAACCUUCGCAAUGCGGGAAACCGCGACGAGGGGACUCCCAGUGCCUACGCUCAGCGUAGGCUGUUCCCGAGCCUAGAAAGCUCGGGGAGUAAGGGCUGGGUAAGACGGGUGCCAGCCGCCGCGGUAAUACCCGCAGCCCGAGUGGUGGCCACUAUUAUUGGGCCUAAAGCGUCCGUAGCCGGCCCGGUAAAUGCCUGGGUAAAUCGUGGAGCCCAACUUCACGAAUUCCGGGUAGACUGCCGAGCUCGGGACCGGAAGAGGGAGAGGGGUACUUCAGGGGUAGGGGUGAAAAUUUCCUUUCCAUUAACGCUUUGCGCGAAGCGGAAAGGGUUAUCACAAUCCUGUAAUCCCUGGAGGACCACCCGUGGCGAAGGCGCUCUCCUAAGACGGGUCCGACGGUGAGGACGAAAGCCAGGGGAGCAAACCGGAUUAGAUACCCGUGUAGU